rnacentral:misc_RNA from 1 species
AUCGCUCUCUCUGGCCUGGGGCGGGAUGUUCAAACGCUUGUAACGGCCGCUACGAUCACCUUAGCGCUAAAUUUGUCGUAACCCGCGCGUAACUCGCCUAAGGUGUAUGUUGGAAAGAUCUUGGAGUCGUCGCUACGAUUUUCGGACUGCCAUAUUUGCUCGUAGCGCUGUCUCGAAGAGCACCCUUACAGUGAUCGUAGGGUGGUUUGUUUACCUCCCGUGGAAUUCUGUACCCACAUUGCCUUGUCAGAGAUGGAGUUACAAGUUGUAUUGCAACAUGAUGUUGCAGUAAACAGGGCCUGGAGACGUGAAAGAAGAUUUAGAGACCGAACAGAUCCAUUUGCUUUUAGGGAUGAACACUUGCUGAGAUAUUAGACUCCCGAGACAGGAGCUUCUUCAUUGGUGCCAGAAGCUAGAACCAAAAGUUGGCCGAGCAACAAGAAAAUCCCAUGCAGUGCCAUGUCAUUUACAGGUGUUGAUGACAUUUAGGUUUUAUGCCAGUGGGUCAUUCCAAAGUGUGUUGGCAGACACAUGGAUUAACACAAGGAUGUGUCAGCAGAGUCAUCAACAGAGUGACAGAUGUGCUGUAUACGGCGUCACUUAGAGAAACACGGAUGCCAAGAGGACUAGAGGAAGCCAGGGUAACAAAGAGGAAAUUAUAUGGAAUUGCCAAUUUUCCAAAUGUGAUUGGCAUCAUCGAUGGAACACACAUCCCGAUUGCUGCCCCACCAGUUGAUGAAGAACUCUACAUUAAUAGAAAGAAUUUCCAUUCACUGAACAUACAAGUUGUGUGUAAUGCAGACUACAUUUUUCAAGACUAUUGCUGCCGUUUCCCUGGAAGCACACGAUUCAUUUGUAUGGGAGAACAGCAUCCUCAACAGGAGAUUCCAGCGGGGUGAAUUUGGAGAUGCCUUUCUUCUUGCCCAGGCAGGAAAACUCCUACCCACUCUUCCACUCCUGGAUGAAGUAGUAGUCAACCCUGAUGACAUAGAUGGACCUGUGUUUGUUCCUGCACCAGCUGGUGGUGGAGGACGGGAUGCAAGGGCAAUAGCUGGGAAUGCAA